GCUCGUAUGGCUCAGAGGUAGAGCACUCCCUUGGGUAAGGGAGAGGUCGCGGGUUCAAUUCCCGCUAUGAGCUCCA
rnacentral:tRNA from 1 species